CGCCGUUAAGUCAUCGCUGCUGCCACCCAGGCACGGCUCUCUAUGCCGCCGCUCCCUCCACCCUCUCUGCACUGCCAGCAGUAAGAAUUUUUACUGCGACACUCGCUUCAGCAGGAGAUUUUAUUGGCUGUAGACACGCCCAGCAUCUUCUUGAGCUCCUCCCUGAGGUGGAUGGGCAGCUAGCUGCAGGUGGCACAGGAUGAUACACAUCUUUUCUCACGCCGCUUUGCCCUCUAGCUCCAAGAUCUCGGCUGCCAGAUGCAGCGACAGAGCUUCUUUGUACAUACAGCCCUGGACACACUUUCAGCAGCAACUCUUCUUGCGCGAGCUGGUGCAAGAACAGGAUUCAUCUGUGGCACAGGAACAGUUGGUGUCAACCGAUGGAGGCAGAGGAGAGACCAGAGCCGUGACUUCAACUGAAGUGGAGUAAAUAAAGAUGAUUGCAGAACUUGGAAGCUGACGAAAUCAGUUUUGGAAAAGAGCUGGCUUGGAGCGUGACAGAAGGGAGAGAUGGAAAGAAUGCUGGGAGUCCAACUCAAGACUGAUGUGUGCUUGGCAGGCAGUCUACCCCAGUCUCAGUCCUCUAGCCUUUUGGCCUUUUUUCCUUUUUGGAGACAGGAUUGCAUCAUAGGGCAGCCUGGCCUCCUACACAGUCCUGCCUCAGUCUCUGGAGUGCUGGGAUUGUAGGCCUAUACCACCGCGCCUUUCUACAAUACAAACAGGAAAGGAAGAGGGGCUUCUUUGGAAAGGAGUAAAAGGACCAUGGAAGAGAUAAGAAGAUAAUGUUGUCAGAAAUUAUGCUGCUUGUGAAGAGGUAAACUGAACCCUUUUGAUUCUGUGAGGUUAUUAAAGAAUAUAAUUUUCAAAUCACGGUAAAAUCUUGAUUCAGAAACACAUGAGGAUAAUCAUUGUUUCCAUGGAAACCUUGGGAGACAGUUGAAAGCCUGGUCCCUGUUGCCUGGAGCAUUAGCCCAGCAUGGCUGCAAAGUUGGUCCUUUCCUGUUACCAUCUCCUGAGUACUGAACUACACGUAUGCGUGAACCUGCCCAUCUCUGCCUCUGUUAACAGCUGCCGUUGUCUCUUCACGAUAUUGUGGCUGACCUAGGUUGGAAGGAACAGAGCCAGUUGGCCAUGGACUGAAACUUUUGGAACUGAUUCUGAGGAGUUAAUGUUUCCAUGAAUAUCUCAGAAGGAGAUGUGGACAAAGGAACACUUGUCUCACUCUCGUAGGUUGGACUACAGUGAUCAUUGAGUAGGAGCUUCAUCUUUAAAACUGGGGUGUGCUCUUAUGGUUGGUAUUCAUUUUUCCUUUACCCGUUUUCCCCAUACCUCCAUUUAUAACUUUAUUGCUGCUCAUAGCUCCAGAAGGAUAUAGUAACAGGGAGAGAAGGCAUGGCCUCUGUGUGGUAAGCUAAGUGAGAGCAGGAAGUGAAGCCAGGGUAGAAAACCCCAGUUUUGACCCUAAGGACAUACUUCAAGCAAGGUACUCCUUCUGAAAGGUACCAUUACAUUCCCACAUGUUACCACCAACUGGGAUACGAGUGUUCAGCAACAUGAGCUAGGGCCACAGUGAUCCUUCCAACCACCACAGAGGGCAGAAUGUACACCCUGCUAGAACAGAUUUCUAUGAAACGAGCCAUCUCUUCUCUGGAGCAGGUAGAGCUAUAAAGAAGACAACCUGGAGUGGUCGUGAAACGAUUUGAGGUUUGGCAUGAACUCUAAGAAGCACGAGAUUUGUGGUUUCCUGUUUUGUUUCUUGCUACGUAGUCCUGGCUGUCCUGAAACUCCCUACAAAGAUUGAGAAGGCCCGAUCUUAUAGCAAUCCUACUGCUGCCUCGCGGUUGUUAGGAUUAUACACAUGGGCACAUGUUCAUUAGAAAGAUACACUGUUCUCUAAUUCAUCUUUUUAGAUAAAGUAAAAAGGGAUGAAGAUUAGCAUGUUACACCACCACUGAUAAAAACCAUUCUGGUAUCAGGUAACAUCCAACUUACUGACAGUUUGGGAUGACAGAGGGGCUGAAUUGAGUUUUUAGAAGGUAAAACACACAGGAAAGUCUAGGGAGCUGAUAGAGCCUGGCUGGAUUGCAGAGCUCGUCCUCAUACUAUUCUACUGACCCAGCUCCUGAGGAAAGGAUCCAGGUGUCUUUACUUCAACGCUGAUUUAGUCAUUGUUCUCAUGACGGGUCCUUUAGGCUGCUUUUUAUUUACCCCUGGGGCUUAGACAAGGGAGAAAAAAUAGAAAAUACUGUCCGAGGUAACCACAGCCACACAGCCUCAGACACCAAGUAGUCAGCCUUAUCAUAGAGCACAGGUGACUGUUCUCAGUCACAUGCUAACGCUGGCUUAUGGUUUUGUUUACAUUAACCAUUCUUUUCCACAGUAUUAAUGUCCUUACACACAAAAUACACAGAAAUCUUUGUUGUAUUAGACUGUUAAACACCAACAGUGAAAAUCCCUAAGGCCCAAAUAUCAAAAUAUAGCACCAAAAUACCAAGUAAGAAUGAAGAGAGUGGCUAGUGGGUUUGACGGUAGAUGCAGACUUUUAUCGUGGUCACUCCUACAAUGCAGAACAUUCUUGUUUAUUAGUUUGAUACCAGUCAUCUGAUGUCAUGUUGGCAACUGGAGAUUCUAUAUACAAGAACGGGAGCUCUGAGAAAACAUUGUAGGAAUUACGCUUUAUGAGACAAUGUGGACCUUGGCAGUCUUGGUUAAGUCUCUUGGGAUGGGUAGGGUAGAACUUGACUUUCAGUUAUUCUACAUUGAGUUCCCUUAACACCUGAGUCAAGCUUUAUUGUAUUACCCUCAGUCUUGCCUCCUCAUGUUGUGUGGACUCCUUAUCUCCUGCCUCUCUUUGCCCGACCCAACUGUGUUUCAGCAAUCUUCUUUCCCUGCCCAGAACUGGAUCUGUGAAAAGCUGAAUCAUGAAUGAAAACUCAAUGAGUGUGCGGACUGGAACCUGAAUUACUCUCUGGAGAGAACGAAAGGAGUGGUGCCCAAGAAGAUGGAGAGGGAAGUUAUGAAAUGCUGUGACCAAAUGACAAAUGCUGAUGUUUUGGGAGAUUUUGUUUCCCAUAGGAAAUAGAGUGAAUGCGAUACAUUUCUUUUGUGAGGGAUUCGUCUUUUCGCUUGUUACAGGUUACUCCUUUUUUCGAGAUUUCUAUUUACCUAAUUGAGAAAGAAACCAGAACAAGGUUAUCACUGAAUUAGAGACUUAAGGACAAGGUAUAGAACUGAUAAAUUAGUAAUUAACUGAUUAAAAAAGUACGAUUUAUAUCCAAUAGACAGAAAGGCUCCAGACAUCCUUAGUGCUGUCUUAGCACUAGGUUAGUCUACCUAAUACUUGUCAUUCUGAAAUGUAUGGUGGAACAUCCAACCGGCAAGAGCUACUUCAGGGAAGGACUAUAAUUUUUGUCACAGGACUAUAAUUUUAACACAGCGAAGCUCCCUGUACACUUUCAUUAUAGAUAUUUCUCUUCUGGUGACUCUGAAUGCUCUUCCUACUUUCAGCUCACUUGGCAUGUUGAACUCAAAUUUUAUCAUCUCAUGAAUUAGUCCAAUACCUGAAGGAGCAAGAGAAACAGCACCCGGUUGACAAGAAUAUGACCUGUUGAUUGAACACCAUUAAAAAAUAAUUUGAUUCAGUUGGACUGGGCUUUUUUUUUCCCUCAGUGAAAGUAACAUGAUUAACAUUUUGAAAGUUGUGAACAUGCAUACUUCUAUAAGCCACAAAAUAAUUACUUAUAAAAAUCUGAGUAUGGAUACUGCAUAAUUUCAGAACAGAAUACCCAUCAUAUUGUAUAUAUCUUGAAUUCAAGGUUUGAAAAUUAUAUGUCUAUGUCAUCUAAUAUGUACUUCUGCAUUUUAUCUAGAUCAUACCAUAUUACUGUACAGUUUGGACUUUCCCAUUUUUUAAUAUAAAAUGUAACAUGCAUUGUAGAUUAAUACUUAUAUAUCUUGUUUCUUUAAAAUUAAUUUCUAACAAUUAUUUUCUUUAUUUGAAUACUUGGGGUAUCAUAAAGGUGCUGUUGAGGUAUUUUCAAUAUACUUGUACAACUUCCUGCCUGUAGUUAAUAAACGUGGAUAUUUCAUUAAACAAUUGAAAUGCAUCAUUUACUCUUUGUAA
rnacentral:lncRNA from 1 species